GAUGAACGCUGGCGGCGUGCCUAAUACAUGCAAGUCGAGCGAACAGACGAGGAGCUUGCUCCUCUGACGUUAGCGGCGGACGGGUGAGUAACACGUGGAUAACCUACCUAUAAGACUGGGAUAACUUCGGGAAACCGGAGCUAAUACCGGAUAAUAUAUUGAACCGCAUGGUUCAAUAGUGAAAGACGGUUUUGCUGUCACUUAUAGAUGGAUCCGCGCCGCAUUAGCUAGUUGGUAAGGUAACGGCUUACCAAGGCAACGAUGCGUAGCCGACCUGAGAGGGGGAUCCGCCACCCUGGAACUGAGACACGGGCCAGACUCCUACGGGGGGCAGCAGUAGGGAAUCUUCCGCAAUGGGCGAAAGCCUGACGGAGCAACGCCGCGUGAGUGAUGAAGGUCUUCGGAUCGUAAAACUCUGUUAUUAGGGAAGAACAAAUGUGUAAGUAACUAUGCACGUCUUGACGGUACCUAAUCAGAAAGCCACGGCUAACUACGUG
rnacentral:rRNA from 1 species